GAUGAAGAACGUAGCGAAAUGCGAUAAGUAAUGUGAAUUGCAGAAUUCAGUGAAUCAUCGAAUCUUUGAACGCACAUUGCGCCCUCUGGUAUUCCGGGGGGCAUGCCUGUUCGAGCGUCAUUAUAACCACUCAAGCUUUCGCUUGGUAUUGGGGCUCGCGGUUCCGCGGCCCCUAAAAUCAGUGGAGGUGCCUGUCGGCUCUACGCGUAGUAAUACUCCUCGCGAUUGAGUCCGGUAGGUCUACUUGCCAGCAACCCCCAAUUUUUACAGGUUGACCUCGGAUCAGGUAGGGAUACCCGCUGAACUUAAGCAUAUCAAUAAGCGGAGGA
rnacentral:misc_RNA from 1 species